CUAUGUUGCCACCGCGUGAUGGCGGGGACUCAUAGGAGACUGCCGGGGUCAACUCGGAGGAAUGUGGGGACAACGUCAAAUCUUCAUGCCCCUUAUUUCUUGGGCUUCACGCAUGCUACAAUGGCCGGUACAAAGGGUUGCGAUACUGUGAGGUGUAUCUAAUCCCAAAAAGCCGGUCUCAGUUCGGAUUGGGGUCUGCAACUCAACCCCAUGAAGUCGGAGUCGCUAGUAUUCGCAUAUCAACAUCCCUGCGUUGAAUACGUUCCCGGGCCUUGUACACACCACCCGUUAAUUCACGAAAUUUGGUAACACCCGAAGCCGGUGGCCUAACCCUUGUGGGGGGAGCCGUCUAAGGUGGGAUCGGCGAUUGGGACUAAGUCGUAACAGUGGUACCGUACCGGAAGGUGCGGCUGGAUCA
rnacentral:rRNA from 1 species